rnacentral:rRNA from 1 species
GACGAACGCUGGCGGCGUGCUUAACACAUGCAAGUCGAACGAUGAAGAAGAGCUUGCUCUUCGGAUUAGUGGCGAACGGGUGAGUAACACGUGACUAACCUGCCCCUUUCUCUGGGAUAACGCUCCGAAAGGAGUGCUAAUACCGGGUACUCACAUCGAGGCACAUGCCUUGAUGUGGAAAGUUUUUCGGAAAGGGAUAGAGUCGCGGCCUAUCAGCUUGUUGGUGAGGUAACGGCUCACCAAGGCGACGACGGGUAGCCGGCCUGAGAGGGCGACCGGCCACACUGGGACUGAGACACGGCCCAGACUCCUACGGGAGGCAGCAGUGGGGAAUAUUGCACAAUGGGCGAAAGCCUGAUGCAGCGACGCCGCGUGAGGGAUGAAGGUCUUCGAAUUGUAAACCUCUUUCAGUAGGGACGAAGCGAAAGUGACGGUACCUAAAGAAGAAGCACCGGCUAACUACGUGCCAGCAGCCGCAGUAA